GGAACAUUUGUGUUGGGUAAAAAGGACAGAUGAGACACACGUGUGUUUAUCCGGUGCAGAGUGACUGAUGAAGCAAUGCUGAAUGCUUUGAAGCUUUUGUGGUGGAGCAGGUGAUAGCAGCAUUUGUGGAAAAAAGGGAAAACCUGAAACAAAAAUAUAAAGUAAGAUCAUUUUGUUUCUUCUAAUACAGAAGUCAAAUAACAUUGUGCUGUUAAAAUUACUGCUUUUGUAUUGUGUUUGUGCAUCUUUGCAGGAUCUGAAAUGUCUGCAGACUGGUGUGAGCUGUGAAGAUGCAUCAUUUUCAGCAUCCUAGAAAUGG